AUGUUCAUCUGGUUGCUCUUCUUAAGAUUGGAGCACUUGCAGAUUUCUGUUGCUAGAUUAAGUUUACUAUGUCGGUCAGUGUUUGGUUAUAUAUGUUUUUGUCAGUCAGUUUUGUGCCAGAGAGCAAAUCAGUUGUUCUGGACCUGGUCAAACCUCAGCUAUUUCUUGAGCCAGUUCUGGGAUGGUGACCCCUUGAGGAGUCUGGUCAAAGCAAGCCAGCAGCAUGAACAUUACUACUGUAACCAUCUUUGCACUGACGAUGAUGGCUCACCUGUUGGAUCAUAUCAAUAUGAGCCUCCUGAUCUUAUGCACAACCCUUCACGACACAUGACUGGCUUUGCUGUUCCUAGUCUCGUUGCGUCCGUCCGUCCCAUGGAAAUCAACACCUGA
rnacentral:rRNA from 1 species